rnacentral:piRNA from 1 species
UUGAGCAAUGAUUACCUUUGU